rnacentral:rRNA from 1 species
UACAGAGGUGGCAAGCGUUGUUCGGAAUUACUGGGCGUAAAGGGCGCGUAGGCGGCCUUCUAAGUCAGACGUGAAAUCCCCAGGCUUAACUUGGGAACUGCGUCUGAUACUGGGGGGCUUGAAUGCGGGAGAGGGAUGUGGAAUUCCAGGUGUAGCGGUGAAAUGCGUAGAUAUCGGGAGGAACACCAGUGGCGAAGGCGGCUACCUGGCCCAUUCUUGACGCUGAGGCGCGAAAGCCAGGGGAGCAAACGGG